CACUGAUCAAGAAGAUUUUAAAUGUUAUUCACUAGAACCGUUUUUUUAAAAGAUUUAAAGACAGCUGCUGAAAAGAUUUCCUUUUUCUCUUGUGAUAGUUCGUAUAUGCUUGGGCCAGGGAGUGGUACUAUGAGGAGGUGUGGCCUUGUUGGAGUAGAUGUGUCACUGUGGCUGUGAGAUAUAUUACCCUAAUCCUAGCUGCCUGAAAGGGAGUCUUAGAGUAGGAGCCUUCAGAUGAAGACUUAGAAUUCUCAGCUCUUCCUGAACCCUGCCUGCCUGGAUGCUACCAUACUCCUGCCUUGAAUAUGAUGACUUGAACUUCUGAAUCUGUAAGCCAACCCCAAUUAAAUGUUGUUCUUGUAAGAGCUGCCUUGGUCAUGAUGUCUGUCCACAGCAGUAAACCCCUACUAAGAGUUCACCCAUUCAGCCACAGAUAUUAGAAAAUUUAUAAAAGUUUUUAAAUUUUCAAAGAAAGGUAGGUCCCAGCUGCUUAAAGGGUGCUUAAAAACAGAGAACACUUGAGACAUCUUGUGCAUAAACUGAAGGCCACCAUCUCUUCUGAUGAUAAAUCAUGGUUAAACAUACAUACCCAGCAGAAUUUUGGUUUCAUAUCCUCUGUAAGGAGAAGCCAACCACUAGGACUGGCCCAACCCCAAGCUCCUAUAAUUGUUUAACUAACCCGUUCAACUACUUUCAUCCACAUUAAACAAGACCCCGUGGCCCUGGAAACAGAAGGAAAUAUUGCCAUCCUCCGUAUUGCCUGAAUGAACAGACAGACAUCCUGGUGCCCUGGGUGUCACCAUGGGACAAACUUCUGCUGCCUGUGAGGACCUGGAACCUCCAAAUCUUAUGGGUCUGAUUCAUCCAGAGAAAUAGGCUGCUGACCUGGAUGCCUGACAAACAGCCUACAACCAGUGGGACCUAUUGAUAUUCUGAUGACAAACCACAAAUUCGAUACUGCCUGAGACUCCAUGAUGAGGAAGAAAUGGACAGCUCAAACCCUCAGGCUGUGAAGACAGGUGGCCUUACAGCAUGGAUCCACCACACCCAGGUCAAGAAAUUGGAAAGCCACAGAAGGACACUGCUGCCAAAUCAACUGUCUCUGGAC
ensembl:lncRNA